rnacentral:rRNA from 1 species
CCUACGGGGGGCAGCAGUGGGGAAUCUUGCGCAAUGGGCGAAAGCCUGACGCAGCGACACCGCGUGGGGGACGAAGGCCCUCGGGUUGUAAACCCCUUUCGACAGGGAAGAAGCGAUCGUGACGGUACCUGUAGAAGAAGCCCCGGCUAACUACGUGCCAGCAGCCGCGGUAAGACGUAGGGGGCGAGCGUUGUCCGGAUUCAUUGGGCGUAAAGCGCGCGUAGGCGGCUCGGUAAGUCGGUUGUGAAAUCCCGGGGCUCAACCCCGGGACUGCGUCCGAUACUGUCGAGCUAGAGGUAGGUAGGGGAGAUCGGAAUUCCUGGUGUAGCGGUGAAAUGCGCAGAUAUCAGGAGGAACACCGGUGGCGAAGGCGGAUCUCUGGGCCUGACCUGACGCUGAGGCGCGAAAGCUAGGGGAGCGAACAGGAUUAGAUACCCUU